GACAAAUAGACAAAAGCGACUCGAGUGCUGUGCGCUGGUUCUAUGACGUCACGUAGCCCAUGUCACCCAAACAAAGGAAGCCUCGGGCGUUCCGCCCCGAAAGGCCUCUGGCUCCUUCUCCGUUAUAGGGAGGAAAGGUCAUGCCUGCCAGGGAAUGCUGUGCGCAUCGCAGUAGGACACUACCUGCCGAAACACGGGAAGCAAAGUCAACAAACACGCAGACAAAGGCAAUGGGAGGAAAAAUGUCCAAACAAACUGCGGCCUGCCCCCUCUCACCCCAGCUACCCUUCCACUGGGUGACUGGGGUACUCUGGGGAAGGUGACAUCAGACUCUAUUUGAGGGGGUCAAUAAACAAAUAAACACAUAGCAGCACAAGAAGAAUGGAUUCUGCAAUUAGUAUAAUUGGAGCUCCUCCCAAUGGAGGCCCAAGCGGAGAGGAAGGGGGACGGACCGCUUCCUCAGGAAAAAGCAUCGUCUUCUACUAUAAAACAGUCCGGCCAGGAAGCGCAGAAGCCCCAGAGUCGGGUUGCCCCUCUGAGGAGACGCGCGUGCACGCCGCAGCUCUCACGCACAGCGACAGAAGAGAGCAGGACCGUGAUGCCGCUGCCCUGAAAGCAAGAGGCACCUUCCGGAGCGCACGAGAAUUCCUUAAUUGGGAAGCAAAAUGCCUGUUCUUAAAAAUCUACCCGGGAAGCUGAAAGGGGGCAAAGUGAACAGAGAACUGGAAAACUCCCACGGAGAACUGAUCUUGCAUAAAAUGAGCCUGAGCCUGAAUCCGUUCGACGAGUCCGGUGGGGAAGAGGCUUGGGGUGAGAGGAAUGAGCACUCUCUUUUGGAUGGAGGUGCCCCCCGGGACCGCAACCCCUUUGGAGACGAGGAAGACGAAAAUGAGGCGAAUGAGGGGCGGCGGAGUGGGACGCCAAAGAGCGGCUCGCUGAAGGGCACGUUGGACCGCAUCCGUGGCUCAUCCCCACUCAAGACCCUGGGCAAGCUGGGCAAAGGGCUGCGGAUGUCAGGCCGCAGCAAAGGAGGGGGGACCUCUUCCCCAGAGGGCUCCCUAGGCACACCCUCUCCUCUAGAGAAGAAGAAGAAAAGCAGACGCAGCUCCGAGGGAAGUUUACUCAGAAUGGCUGGCAGGUGCAGAGAGAGCCUGCGCAAGGAGAGCCUCCCCAACGGUGACCUGAGUGUUGACAGUGACGCGGACUCCAGCCGUCGUCUCUCCUUCUUGAAGAUGGUGAGCCGAGGCAAGAAGAAGGAGUCACUGGGGGACUCUGUGUCCAGGGGACCAGAGGAGGAGGUGGUGGAGGAGGUGCCAGAGGUCAAACCCAGGGAGCCGCUUUCAGUCCUGGAGAUUCUGCAGCUGGUGACCAAGCGGGACCUGUUUCUGGCUGACACACACAUCCUGGAGCUCGAGCAGGAGUGUGAGGAGGUGGCGGCUGCUGGCUCCCCAGGAGCUUCCACAGAGGAGGCUUCCACCCCUGGCAGCAAGGAUGGGGGUCGGCGAAAGGCCAAAGAUGUGGAGCUGCUCUACGAGGCCCUCCAAAAGGAGCUGUGGGAGGUGGUGCGUGAGUCGCUGCGUUCCCCCACAGCUGGACCUAACCUUGGCCUGGUGGUGCAAGUUCUCGAACAGGAGGAACAAGCGGACCGGAACUGGGCCCAGAAGGAGGCCCUGUCCACGGGACCCAGGCCACGGCAGUUGAAGCGACGCUGGAAGGAAGCUGUUACUGAGGCAGCUGAUGGAAGCCUGCCCCAGCAGGUGGAGGCCCAAGCUGGGCACCUGGCAUCAUACCUGGACAGGCUGCGCACCCGGGUCGUGGAGGACCUUGGGGCAGCCCGUCGGAACGUGGUGUCAAUCUACCCGGAGGAGUACGGUGCCUUCCAGAUCACAGACACCUACUCCCUGCUGGACUGGAUAUACAACAUCUACAACAGAGAUGUUCUUGGUGUGGUCAGCAUAACAAGCCCUAUCAACCGCUCCCAGCUCAGACCACUGUUGCCCUCAGAAACCAUCGAUAAGCUAGAGCUGGAUUGUCUCAACUCAGUCCGGGCUAAAGUGACCACAGAACUGUCUCAGGUGUUGGACGAAGAGGAAAAACGAUGGACAGAGACACUGAACAUUGAAGACUUUCAGUCACCACUGGCCUCUAUUGUGAUCAAGCGUUUGCAGGUAGACCUGGACAGAUCAGCAACCAUAACCAGAGACCUGGCGGCCCGAGUAGCGCAGUGCAGCCUCAAUGGACUGGCUGACUUCCUCUACAGCUUCCAAAGGAAAGUGGAGAUGUUUCACGAACGUUUUAUGAGUGAGAGUGGAGAGUGGAGCGAUGGUUAUGUCUCCAAGACGAUUGCCCUGGUUAACUGCUGCCCACCUUUUAGGAAUUUUAUCCAGCGCUGUCAGCAGUGUGAGCCUGCUGUUAGUGAAGACUCUGCACGGAGGGGGAAUGCCUCUCUGGACAGGAUUGUCAACCAGGGUGUGAAGGUGCUGAGUGACAGGCUGUUUGAGCACAUCAGGCCUUUCUUUGACAAGCUGGUGAAGAGAAAGUGGCUGAAUAACACAGAGCCCUAUGAUUCCAUCGAGACAAUCAUCAAGGAGCACUUCAAAAAGUUCCGCAGAAUGGAUUGCCCUCCUUAUCAAAUACUGGUGAGUGAGGUACACAGGCGGGUCCUGACUGAAUAUUUGCGGGCCAUCAUGAGGGGAAGGAUCAUCUGCACAUCACUCAAAAUGAGGAAAAAGAUGGCUGGCCGACUUCGUGAUGAGGGCAGACAGCUUAAAAGGCUCUUUAAAGACCUGGAAUCUGGUGCUUCGUGGCUUGACACUGCAAUCCCACAUCUAUCAGAGAUAAUUCUCCUGGAGGACACCCCAUCUAUCCAAAUGGAAGUCGGAGUCUUAGUGAGGGAGUUCCCUGACAUACGGAAGAAACACAUUUCAGCCAUUCUUAACAUCCGUGGGAUGACGCGACAGGUGGAGCGACAGGAGAUUUUGAACAUUGUGAAGGACAUUGAGAAGGACAGUGACAGCCUAACGCAGCUGUCCCGUGACCGUGCUCUCUUCUCUGAGGUUCCUGUGACAUCUGAGGUUCACUGUGUCAAUGUUGGCCUCAGCCGGAUUGCUCUUACUGCAUCCUCUUGCUUUUCUGGCCUACGGACACGCCGCAAGAGAAUUCCAAAGCGAGAAGUACAUGAGGGGAUCCUCUGAAUGGCAACUACUGGAUAGCAGCAAGCCCGAACUGCAGAGCUCCAAAACCGUGCUGAACCGAAGAAUUAUAGAAAUUUCUUUUACCCCCAGACAGUCCCAAAGAAACAGAUUAUUUUGCCAAAGAUAUAAACGCUCAUAAAUGACACAAAAUAUCUUUCAUUCAUUUCCACUUCACACAUAGUGGUACUGACUGAACCUUCCACUGUUUAAAAAGUCAUUUGGACCAAUUCCUGUCUGCUUUAAGUUAUCUAAAAUCUGUGAAAGAUUAUUAACCUCCUAUGGAGAAAAUAACAGAAUUAUUUCUAUUUUGGAUUUAGAGGGAAUUUUCUGUUUAAGUAUUAAAAUGUGAGAAUAUGUCAGAAAGGUUGCUACAUUCAGUUAAAAUCCAGGUGUAUUCAAUGUGGAUUAUUGAUAGUGAAGAUAUGCAACUUAGCAACUCACAGCAGUGACUACAUGGAGUUCCAUUUGUGCUAGAUAUGGAAACAAUCUCAUGAAGUUUCAAAAAGAUCAUGAUUGAAUAAUUCAGCUAAAAAUUAUUUGACUGACGUACAGAGAUUAUUGAUUAUACAGUUACACCUGUACUUUUGUAAUCAUAGCAGAGUUGUGUGCGACUGUAAAGUGCAGUGUUUAUUGUUUGAAUGCGUUGGCUUGAUUUAAGGUACUAUUCAUUUUAUUUUGUCUCCUGAUCGUCUUCAUAUUUAAAAGAAUUAUUAAUACAGGUUUUAAUCCUUUUAAUUUUAUGUUAGUGAGUGUAAAUUGUAGAAUUCCAAACAUUAUUCCAGUAGUGAUUGAUGAAUGGUAACAAGAAAACAGCUAUUUAUAUGCAAACAGGAAGUCUUUAUUAUUAUAUUUAUUGUACUGUAGUCUGGCCUGCUUGUAACUGUAGUCAGACUCUAAGAAAUCAUUUGGUGAAAUGUACAUGCAUUUUAUUUGUUUUCCAUCUGAUUUAAGAUUUAUAUUUACAUGACACAGAAACAAAAAAAUAUUAAUAAAUAAAAAAGUAUUAAAGGGCUGUUAAAAUAU
ensembl:lncRNA